rnacentral:rRNA from 1 species
UACGUAGGGUGCAAGCGUUAAUCGGAAUUACUGGGCGUAAAGCGUGCGCAGGCGGCUAUGCAAGACAGAUGUGAAAUCCCCGGGCUCAACCUGGGAACUGCAUUUGUGACUGCAUGGCUAGAGUACGGUAGAGGGGGAUGGAAUUCCAGGUGUAGCGGUGAAAUGCGUAGAUAUCUGGAGGAACACCGGUGGCGAAGGCGGCAUCCUGGACCGACAUUGACGCUGAGGCGCGAAAGCCAGGGGAGCAAACGGG